GUGUCAGCAGCCGCGGUAAUACGGAGGGUGCAAGCGUUAUCCGGAUUCACUGGGUUUAAAGGGUGCGUAGGUGGGUUGGUAAGUCCGUGGUGAAAUCCCCGAGCUUAACUUGGGAACUGCCAUGGAUACUAUCAGCCUUGAAUGUCGUGGAGAUGAGCGGAAUAUGUCAUGUAGCGGUGAAAUGCUUAGAUAUGACAUAGAACACCAAUUGCGAAGGCAGCUCGUUACGCGAAUAUUGACACUGAUGCACGAAAGCGUGGGGAUCAAACAGGAUUAGAUACCCGGGUAGUCC
rnacentral:rRNA from 1 species